rnacentral:rRNA from 1 species
GAGCUUGCUCUUAUGGGUGGCGAGUGGCGGACGGGUGAGGAAUACAUCGGAAUCUACCUUUUCGUGGGGGAUAACGUAGGGAAACUUACGCUAAUACCGCAUACGACCUUCGGGUGAAAGCAGGGGACCUUCGGGCCUUGCGCGGAUAGAUGAGCCGAUGUCGGAUUAGCUAGUUGGCGGGGUAAAGGCCCACCAAGGCGACGAUCCGUAGCUGGUCUGAGAGGAUGAUCAGCCACACUGGAACUGAGACACGGUCCAGACUCCUACGGGAGGCAGCAGUGGGGAAUAUUGGACAAUGGGCGCAAGCCUGAUCCAGCCAUACCGCGUGGGUGAAGAAGGCCUUCGGGUUGUAAAGCCCUUUUGUUGGGAAAGAAAAGCAGUCGGCUAAUACCCGAUUGUUCUGACGGUACCCAAAGAAUAAGCACCGGCUAACUUCGUGCCAGCAGCCGCGGUAAUACGAAGGGUGCAAGCGUUACUCGGAAUUACUGGGCGUAAAGCGUGCGUAGGUGGUUGUUUAAGUCUGUUGUGAAAGCCCUGGGCUCAACCUGGGAAUUGCAGUGGAUACUGGGCGACUAGAGUGUGGUAGAGGGUAGUGGAAUUCCCGGUGUAGCAGUGAAAUGC